rnacentral:rRNA from 1 species
CCUACGGGAGGCAGCAGUGGGGAAUAUUGCACAAUGGGGGAAACCCUGAUGCAGCCAUGCCGCGUGUGUGAAGAAGGCCUUCGGGUUGUAAAGCACUUUAAGUUGGGAGGAAGGGCAGUAAGUUAAUACCUUGCUGUUUUGACGUUACCAACAGAAUAAGCACCGGCUAACUUCGUGCCAGCAGCCGCGGUAAUACGAAGGGUGCAAGCGUUAAUCGGAAUUACUGGGCGUAAAGCGCGCGUAGGUGGUUUGGUAAGAUGGAUGUGAAAUCCCCGGGCUCAACCUGGGAACUGCAUCCAUAACUGCCUGACUAGAGUACGGUAGAGGGUGGUGGAAUUUCCUGUGUAGCGGUGAAAUGCGUAGAUAUAGGAAGGAACACCAGUGGCGAAGGCGACCACCUGGACUGAUACUGACACUGAGGUGCGAAAGCGUGGGGAGCAAACAGGAUUAGAUACCCCGGUAGUC